AAACUCCGUGCCUAGCAAUGGGGAUGUAUUUUCAAUAAAUAAUAUUGUGCUCACAACGAAAUGUGUUUUUGAAAGCGUAUGAAGAAAGUGUUGUGAUCUAUCUAAUUUUAAAAACUUUCUAUGAUUGAUAAUACUCUGGGUCUUUUCAUAUGUACAACUAUGAAUCGGGUCUCGGUACGCGCAUCAGCAACACCGAGCUCUCCAAAUCCGGGAGAGUAGCGCCGCUCGCGGGAAUAGCCUACCAGCGGAGCGGUACUCGCUCUGCCCGUUUCGUGCGCCAACGAAAUAUCUUCGACUAGACUGAAAUCUUCUUCGGGCACCCAAUAUAAAAAAUCUCCACUGGCAUGGAGCUAGGAGCACAUUGAUAGUGAUAGUCUACAAGAUCUUGGUUUCUAUGCAUUGCCUGCCAAAGAAGAACUGAGCCCAAUGUUUCCACACAAUUCUAGUUCACAUGAGAUUUCUACAGAAACAAAUGCCUUCGUACAAAAUUCCAUGGGGGAUGUAGUAGUAUUAGGGGAAAGCAGUCCGAUAAGGGUUGGGAAGGGAAGAGAAUCAGAGAAUGAUAGGUACUGUGAUAUCGAGUUCAUAAAAAACAUGAUGGCCAAACCUAAUAGCCAUCUCAAAAAUACCGCCGCCAAUGACUUUUUAACCGUCCUGUCGAACCAAACUGGCAAGUUUAUCUUAACCAGUCGAAGCUCGACCUGCCAGUCAGUGGCGUCGUCAACCACAAAACACCCAACAAAAAAUCAUCUUCUAACUUACGAUAAUAAUACUAAUAUUAAUGAUAAUAUUAAUAAUAAUAAUAAUAAUAAUAAUAAUAAUAAUAAUAAUAAUAAUAAUAACAAUAAUAAUAAUAAUAAUAGUAAUAAUAAUAAUAAUAAUCCUAAAAUAAAUCAUCGCUCAUAUCGAGCGAAACAUAAUCAUCAAGAUGAUCGAAAAAUAAUAACAGUUAAUACACAAAAAACAAGAAAAAGAAAACAACCGGGCUCGACCGGUAAUCACAAACCGGGUAGCUCCGCCAAUAACUCUAAGUCUAUGUCUAAGACAUUAAGUGAUAAUAAGACUAGCUUUAGCGUACUAAACAUUAGGGUACUAAGUAUAAGCGUAAAUCUACGAUUAACAGGAGAUAAGUGUGCUAUCGAUGAAGGGGUACCUAGCCUAGUUAGGAUACCCAAGUCUGAUCGCCCCUCGUCAUGCCACUUUUCUCUCGACUCUCUUGACAAUUACUCCUUACUAGGAUCCUGCCUUCAUUCGGGCAAAUACAAUAAUAUUAAGUCUAAUUCUAGCCUCUUAAGUAAUAAUAACGAUAACUACAAGUCUGUGAUAUUGCUCAGCUCAACCAGUAACCAUUAUUUCCUCCGCGUUGAAAUGGACGGUGGUGCGAUUGCAACUAGUUUAUUUAAACAAAUGAAGCUAAAGUAUCAAGCUUUUACUGGUGUAAUCAAUGAAAGAAUUUCUUCAGAAAAUUUCUGUGAUUUCUAUCAAUUUAAAGAGACAUUAUACAAAGCUAUCGGAUUUAAUGCUGAGGAUGUUUUCACAGAAAGUCUGAUAAAUCCUAAGCAAUUCAUUCUAACCAGUUCGACUUUUCAAACUGCCCAGUUCAUUGACAGUGAGAGUUCUAAUGCAAUGAAGACAACAGAUGCCAUUGUAGUAAAUUUAUCUAAUAGCAAUCAGUCUAAAAAAUCUAAAGUUGCUAUUUAUUUGAAAAAUGAACAAAACUCCGAUCGAAACUUUGUUUCUGCUCCAUCGGAAAAAAUUUUCAAUAGAAACUAUUCAAUUUCUAAUCUUUUUCCGGAGGAAAAGAAUAUCAAUUACGCAAAUGAUAUGACUCGAAAUCAUUUGAUUGAUUGUGCAAGAAAUCUCAUAGCAGCAUCCAUUGGAGUUUCCAAAGACAUCUUACAAGUUCUCAAAACUGAUCUUAAACAUAUAUUAACUCUUCUUUUUGGACCACUUUGCGAUCUUGAUGAUUUUAAUUUGGCAUAUAAAAAAAGAUGGGGAAUUCCUGAUAAUCUUAGAUUGAUUGGCGGAGGUGAAAGUUCAUUAAAUGCUGGUGGAUCUGCAAAUUGGGGUUCUACACAAACUAGUACUACAAAUAAUAACAACAAUAAUCAAUCAGGUUGGGGAGGAAAUUCUGGAAAUCCUUCUGGAAAUAGUGGAGCACCUGGUAAUUGGACUGGAAGCAGUGUAAACAGAUCUGUUGCUGGGAAUCCAAAUUCAAAUCAAAAUCAAGGACCUCCAGGUGGGCAAAAUGUCUCAGGUAAUGUGAAUAAAGUAAGCAAUCCAAAUCAGCAAUCAAAUCAACAAUCAGGUCCUCCAACUUCUCAAUCGAGUGGAACAAAUCAAGGUGGUCAAAAUAGUAAUCAAUGGUCACAAGGAAAGUCUAAUAAUCCUGGAGGACCAAGUCAAAGUUCUUCUGUUCAAAAUAAUAAUGCUUCAGCCCAACAGCAACAACAACAACAGCAACAGUCAAAUUCCAGUAAUAAUAAUAAUCAGUCAAAUAAUCAGGCUCAGGGAUCUGUUAAUAGUAGUAAUACAUCUGCAAAUAAUAAUCCUUCAACAAAACAACAAUUAGAACAGUUAAAUACAGUGAGAGAAGCUCUUUUUAGUCAAGAUGGUUGGGGUUGUCAGAAUGUGAAUCAAGAUACAAACUGGGAUGUCCCAACUUCUCCAGAACCUAGUAUGUCAAAAGAUGCAGUUCCAAUGUGGAAAACACCAGUAAAUAAUGGUACAGAUUUAUGGGAAGCUAAUCUUAGAAAUGGUGGUCAACCUCCACCUCAACAACAAGCUAAAACACCAUGGGGUCAUACACCAGCAACAAACAUUGGUGGAACUUGGGGUGAAGAUGAUGAAGCAGCUGAUUCAUCAAAUAUGUGGACUGGUGCUCCAACAUCUUCUCAACCAAAUUCUGCAGCUGGACAAUGGACAACUGGUACUAGUAAUCAAAGUGGCAUGUGGGGAGGAUCUAAUUGGGGUGAUCCAAGAAUUGAUCAUCGAGAUCCUCGCGAACUUCGUUCUGUUGAUCCUAGGGAGAUGCGAGAUCCCCGUGAUCAUAGAAUGUCUUUGGAUCCUCGAGAACACAUUCGUGUAAUGGACCCAAUGGCUCGAGAUCCUAGAAUGACAGAUAUACGUGGGGAUCCUCGCGGAAUUUCUGGGAGAUUAAAUGGUGCUAAUGCGGAUGCUAUGUGGGGUCAACCACCAGGUCCUCCACAUCAUCAAAUGGGACAUCAACAUCCUUCAGGACCUCCAACGAAGAUGUUGAAUCCUUCUAAUAUAAAUCAAUGGGCUGCGCCACCACCAAAAGAUAUUAUGCCAGGUAAACCAACAGGUUGGGAAGAACCUUCUCCACCAACACAAAGAAGAAACGUUCCAAAUUAUGACGAUGGCACAAGUUUAUGGGGAAACCCUGCAGCCAAUCAGAGGACUAUACCUGGCAAUAAAGUUUCUCAUUGGAAAGAUAUUCCAACACCAAAUUUAGGACGAGGAGGAAUGCAAUGUCCUCCAGGUAUGCCACAAAACAGAAUGCCAGGUCAACCUGGAAUGAAACCAGAUGUUAGUGGACCAAUGUGGGGACAUCCUGGUGCUCCUGGUGGACGAAAUGGUAGUUGGGCUGAAGGACCACAUGAUGCAGGUUCAUGGGAUGAUCCAAAAACACCAAGUACCUGGAAUGAAGCUCAAUUAAAUCCUGGCACUUGGGGUGGACCUAGUGCGCACAAACCUAAACCAAUGGGACCCACUGGAAGCUGGGGUGAUAGUGAUAUGGAUCCUACUCCUAGUUGGGGUCAUCCUGCAAAACCUACUCUUACAAAAGAAGUUAUAUGGAAUAGCAGAGAAUUUCGAUAUCUUUGCGACUUGGGAUUUAAAAAAGAGGAUGUUGAAUUAGCAUUAAGAAAUCGAGAAAUGAAUAGAGAAGAAGCUUUGGAACUUUUAAGUCAAGUACGGCCUUUAGACCAAUGGAGAAGACAUGACGCACACUCCACUUAUGAUCCAACAAAUCAAGCUACAACUGCGCCAGCAUAUCCUAGAUUUAAUCACGUCGCACAGCAAAUGUCUUUUCCUCCGGGUGCUGGAGUGCCAAGUGGAAAUACAACUGGUAGUGUGGGAGGAUCAGUCGCUAGUGCAAGUUUAUUGAAAUUGCAACAACAGCAACAACAAACUGCUGUUCCAUUACAACAACAACAACCUAGUAGUAAUGCACCUCAACCACCUUUUAAUCAGGCUUCCAGAGCUCCACAAAAUCAACCAAGUACUCAACAAUUGCGUAUGUUAGUACAACAGAUUCAGUUAGCCGUCCAGGAAGGUUACUUAAAUCAUCAAAUUUUAAACCAACCACUUGCACCUCAAACUCUAAUACUUUUGAAUCAACUAUUACAACAAAUCAAAGUUCUUCAACAGCUUCAUCAACAACAUUCUGUACAAAGUACAAUGAAGGGUAAUGGGCAAUCUGUUCUUCAGAUCAGUGUACAAAUUACAAAAACAAAACAACAAAUAGCAAAUCUUCAAAAUCAAAUUGCUGUGCAACAAGCUACUUACAUGAAGCAACAACAACAGCAACAACAGCAGCAACAACAACAACAGCAACAUCCUGUGGCCCCAUCUCAAAGCUCAGAAUAUUAUAAGAGUUCGGUACAUGAUCCUAUGUCGGCAUUGCAAAAUAGUUUUACGGAUUUGACGAUGAAUAAAGAACCUCCUGUUAGUCAACAACAAUCAAGAUUAAACCAGUGGAAGUUACCUUCUUUAGACAAGGAUGGAGAGUUAGUUUCGAACGAGUUCUCGAGAGCACCAGGAACAACCAGUAAGCCAGCAGCUACACCGGCUGGUUUAACACGAUCACACAGUAGUCCUAACAUGAAUCCUUUGUUGGGUCAAGGAGAUGGUACAUGGUCCACCAGACUUGGAGAGAGUGGAUGGCCAGAUCCAGGUAAUACGGAUUCUACUGAUGGAAAGGAUUGGCAGUCAACUGGUGCAGCUACUGGUGCUGCUUUUACCGAUCUUGUUCCAGAAUUUGAGCCUGGCAAGCCAUGGAAGGGUACCCAGAUGAAGAGUAUCGAGGAUGAUCCAAGCAUUACUCCGGGUUCUAUUGUUCGUUCACCACUUUCUUUAGCAACGAUCAAAGAUCCAGAUGCCAUUUUCUCUUCAAGUAAUAAGACUUCACCACCGCCACAACAACCUACUAAUCCUGAUACAUCAAUACCAAGUUUGAGUAAUUCUACAUGGACGUUUAAUCCACCUGCUACUACUCCAAACGCAUUUACUAGCUCGAAAAAUACUUGGGGUGAAUCUGCACCACCGCCGACUGCAGUUACUUCAGAGCUCUGGGGAGCACCAAUGACUAAGGUUCGUGGCCCCCCACCAGGCUUAAGCAGUAAAGCCACGGGAAAUGCGAGCAAUGGCUGGGCAGGUUUUGGUACCGUCAGCAGAUCCAGUUCAUGGGGCUUUCAAUCGAGCACAAAUGCUGCCUGGGUUUCUACCUGGUUACUACUUAAGAAUCUGACGCCUCAAAUCGAUGGUUCUACUUUGAAAACCCUCUGCAUGCAACACGGUCCUGUUCAAGAUUUUCGAUUAUACCUUAAUCAUGGAAUUGCUUUAACCAAAUAUUCAUCAAGAGAUGAGGCUAUUAAGGCACAAGGUGCUUUAAACAAUUGCGUCCUGGGCAAUACAACAAUUUUCGCAGAAUCUCCUGCGGAUACCGAAGUACAUAGCUUAUUACAACAGCUUAGUCAUGGAGGUCAACAACAAGCUGGAGCAACUACGGGAGCAGGCUGGGGCUUGCGACCAUCAAAUAAAACUGGUCCACCACCAGAUACUUGGGGAGGUAGUUCCAGUCAAUUAUGGGGCGCUCCACCGAGCAGUAAUUCCCUUUGGAGCAAUGCUGGUAUAGACAGCAACGAUCAACAACGUGCUACGCCCAGUUCUCUGAACUCGUACUUACCCGGAGACCUUCUGGGAGUUGCAGAACGGAUCUCUCUUUAAUCCUUAUACUAUUAAUUUUUUUUUUUUCGAAACUAAUCGCGAAUUAUUUUAAAUAAUCAACAAUUGACGUUAUACGGAACUCUCGCUAUCAUUUAUCAUCAUAUUUGUUCAUAUAUUAAAAAAACAAGCUCUUCUGAUCUUUGUUUACAAAAUAAUUUGUAAAUUCAACAAGUGGUUUUUGACAUCUUUAUUUGAAGUAAACGUUUUGCCAUCUAAGGAAUUUUGUGAAGAAAUUGAUAGUAAUCCGUAAAUGCCAGAUCUGACGAAUAUGGUAAAUACGAUAACACUUCCCAUCCAAGCUGUAACAACUUCUGACCAUUAAAACACGAGUUAUUAAAACUAGCGUGUAAGGUCUAGCGUUAUUGUGAUGAAACUACAUCUUUCCUGUUAAUUAAUUCUUUUUGUUUCUUUUGUUUGAUGGAAUUAUUUAAUUUAUCCGAUGAUGGAAUUAUUUAAUUUAUCCGAUUGAUUGCAAUACUACGAAUUAAUCGUGCAAUUAUCAGGUAGAAACUCAAAAAAAAACAACUCCCUUGAAAUCCCACCAAACAAAUCACUUUUUCGAAAUGCUUUGCUUUGGCUUAUCUCUAUCGCUCCAUGAUCGUUUUCGUUUAAUAUUGUCGUAUUACUUUUCGUAAAUCGUAAACACUUUUCAUCUGCAGUUACGAUUCGCUUUAAAAAUGGAUCAUUUUCCUCAUGUUUGAACAGCAAAUCGCAGAUAUCAAUGCAACGGAGCAAAUUUCUUUCUUUGAGAACCCAAAUAUUCGAAACGAAACCAAGUCGUUUCAUGUGAUCAUGAGCAGUCGAAUUCAAUAAAUUCAAUCUCGUAGCAAUUUCUUAAAUUGUUAUUCAUCGGUUUGCUUCGAUCAGUGCCUUUAUUUUAUCUUCAUCAAUUUCAGGUGAUCUUUCAGAACAUGGCGCAUUUUUACAAUAUCGAAAUUGUUGAAACGAAAUUUUAAAAACCAAUUUUGACACUUGCGUAUUUUUAAUAUAUUUCUCCAUAGACUUCAUUCAUAACUUUUUUCUUACCUGAACAACAUUUUCACCUUUUCGGUAAUAAAAAAAUAAAAUAUGCCGAAAAUGCUCAUUUUAGUCUUGCAUCUUCGUUAUCAUACACAAAAAACAUAAUCGCACAGAAUCAAACGAAUUUUUCUUAUAAAUAAAUCAUGAAAUGCCAAUUUUCAAAAUAUAUAAUAACAGGGUUUAGAAUGAAGUUGGCUGGAUAAACGUUCAACUAGCAACACUUGUGUGAAAAAACUUACUUUCCAAACAAUCUAAUAUUUAUAAAGUGAAAGAAAUCGAACGAUUGAAAACGAUUUUCGAAAAUUUUCGAAAUAAUGUUCCUGAUAAGUUCAAUGUUUUUACGCUAUAUUUUAAAAAUAUAUUAUUUUGUCCAUUUGCGAGACACAAACUUGAAGCAAAUUUUAAAAAGAUUUGCGAGAUUUAUUUGAUGAUCAAUUUUAUAAAUAUAAUUUUCGUACUUUUGCUUUUUGCCAAAUUUUUCUUUUCUCUUUACUGUUAUAAU